AAGGUAGAAAAUAAGGUUAAAUUCAUUUCACAUGAUAUACAUAAACAACAAUACUACAUUGAAUGAGCAACAAGUUGGAAAAUUAAAACGAACUACACAAGUUGAUCAAAGUUGAAAGUUUCAAAAAAUUAAGUUGUCCAUUCGUCAAUUCUUCAUUUGUGAAACUUUUUACGAUAAUUAUGCGCCUUAUUAUUGAGAGUUAUUUUACAUGGGUAGUUUCAAUAAUUGGAUGCUAUAAAAAGGACUAUUGUAGUGGCAACCUUAACGGCAGGAACACCAGUACAAAAAUAUCAAUAUGUGAAGAGCUUAUUUAGAUGUUUGUGAAAAAAAAAAAUGUAU